rnacentral:tRNA from 1 species
GGGCUAGUAGCGUAGGGGUUAUCGCGUUCGCUUUGCAUGCGAAAGGUCUCCGGUCCAAAUCCGGACUAGUCCA